rnacentral:rRNA from 1 species
AGAGUUUGAUCAUGGCUCAGAUUGAACGCUGGCGGUAGGCUUAACACAUGCAAGUCGUGCGAGAAAGUAUCUUCGGAUAUGAGUAGAGCGGCGGACGGGUGAGUAACGCGUAGGAAUCUACCUAGUAGAAGGGGAUAGCCCGGGGAAACUCGGAUUAAUACCGUAUACCUCCUUCGGGAGAAAGAAGGCCUCUCUUUGAAGCUUUCGCUAUUAGAUGAGCCUGCGUAAGAUUAGCUUGUUGGUGAGGUAAAGGCUCACCAAGGCUACGAUCUUUAGCUGGUCUGAGAGGACGAUCAGCCACAUUGGGACUGAGACACGGCCCAGACUCCUACGGGAGGCAGCAGUGGGGAAUAUUGGACAAUGGGCGCAAGCCUGAUCCAGCCAUACCGCGUGUGUGAAGAAGGCCUUCGGGUUGUAAAGCACUUUAAGCAGGGAGAAAAAGCUAUAGGUUAAUACCCUAUGGCCCUGAUGUUACCUGCAGAAUAAGCACCGGCUAAUUCCGUGCCAGCAGCCGCGGUAAUACGGAAGGUGCAAGCGUUAAUCGGAAUUACUGGGCGUAAAGCGCGCGUAGGUGGUUUGUUAAGUUGGAUGUGAAAGCCCUGGGCUCAACCUAGGAACUGCAUCCAAAACUAACUCACUAGAGUACGAUAGAGGGAGGUAGAAUUUCAUAGUGUAGCGGUGGAAUGCGUAGAUAUUAUGAAGAAUACCAGUGGCGAAGGCGGCCUCCUGGAUCUGUACUGACACUGAGGUGCGAAAGCC